CGUGCGCGCGCAUGUCUGGUGACGUCGAGGCCCCGUCCGCGUGGGAAGUGGCGCGCGUGCUGGGCAGGACGUUGUGCGCAGGCGCGGGCCUCACCGCCGCUCUUUACCUGUUCCGCAGGGUGUGCUCGAUCAUGGCCUGGAAGUCAGGAGGAGCCAGCCAAGCGGAGCUCGUCAACAACCUCCGCAAGAAUGGCAUCAUCAAGUCGGACCGUGUGUAUGAAGUCAUGCUUAAGACAGAUCGAGCCCAUUUCUCCAGAUGUAACCCGUAUAUGGAUUCUCCACAGUCUAUAGGAUAUCAGGCAACCAUCAGUGCGCCACAUAUGCAUGCAUAUGCACUGGAGUUGUUACAUGAUCAGCUGUAUGAAGGUGCCAAAGCUCUGGAUGUGGGAUCGGGCAGCGGCAUCCUGUCCGUCUGUUUCGCCAGAAUGGUGGGGCCAAAGGGAAAAGUCAUUGGGAUUGAUCACAUAAAGGAACUAGUGGACGACUCCAUCAACAAUGUUAAGAAAGAUGAUCCUACGCUGAUAUCAUCAGGACGCAUCAAUCUUCUCGUUGGAGACGGCAGGUUGGGCCAUCCGGAGGAGGCUCCCUACGACGCGAUACAUGUAGGAGCCGCAGCUCCGUCUGUUCCCCAGGCUUUACUGGAUCAACUGAAGCCCGGCGGGCGUCUCAUCCUGCCAGUCGGACCGGCUGGAGGAAACCAGAUGCUGGAGCAGCAUGACAAGCUCGAGGACGGCAGCACCAAAAUGAAGCCCCUCAUGGGGGUGAUUUACGUGCCUUUAACAGACAAAGACAAGCAGUGGUCCAGGUGGAAGUGACUUCCUGUCCCUCUCUUCUCCCUCCUUCCUUUCCCCAGGGAACAGGUGAAAUGGUGUGGUCUGGAGCAAGACAAGGCUGCCUUUGCUGGAUGAACUCUAAAACAACAGUCUGGCAAUAUACCCCAUCAUACAUACAUGCAAACACACAAACACACACACACAGAGAAUCCAUCUGGACUUAACAACUAGCAGGAUGAUAAACGGACGACGAAGGAAAACCACGCUCUCUGCACUCUCGCUCUCUGGGCAGUCUGACCGCCGCGUGGCCAAAGAGCCCUCGGGAUGGACGAGAAAUGACUGCAUGAAAAAAUUAAAAUGAAAUGAGGGGCUUUGUCUCAACAUUUUCAUGCCUGCGGUUUGCUAUCGGAUUGUGAAUUUUUUUUUUUUGUUUGUUUGAUUUGCAGGUGCACUUUUUUUUUUUUGGUGAGAACUACAAUAUUGCAGCUGAUUUAAUUUUUCUUUUUUAAAUUCUUUGCAGUUGGUGUGUUUCAGCUUUGUUUAGAGCUGGUGCUGUUUUUUUGUUUGGACUUGUAGGAAUGAGAGCGAUAUUAAAGGAUAAAUCCACCAUCUCUACCCACCUUCUUUUCUUAUGUUCAACAUGCGACAUCGUUCUGAACGCAGUUUUUUUUUUUGGGCAUCGAAUUUGUAAAAAGUUGCGGCUGGGGAUCUUGAAGGAAGUAGAUUCGAAUCCGGCAGCUGAGCUCAAAUCCUUCUUUUCAAGCUUGAAAUUAUUUGCUUUUCUUUUUCAGCUACAAAAAAAUUUAGCUACAAAAAAAAAAUCGCUAUAUAUUUAAAUUUUGAACAAAAAAGCACUAAUAUAUUAUGGAAAGCUAUUGACCAAUUAAAUUAUUAAUGUGUAGCAAACUUCAGCAUAGAUUCGCUCAGACACUAUUCAAACCCCUAGCUGAAUAAUAGCUCGUUGCUGACACCAUCCUAGACCCUUGCUUACACACUCGCUGUCCCAACACACACACACACGCUCCUGAGACUCACACCGCGUUCAACACACGUUCCAUCAAACCGAUCCACAAACACACGCAGGGCUGAACUUGUGUCUCUUCCACUGUGCACAUGCUGGCUGUCACCAUGCUGAUUGUGACACACACAUAUGUGGCUUUGUACAAAUAAAAACCCAAACCAGUGCAAA